UACGUAGGGGGCUAGCGUUGUCCGGAAUCAUUGGGCGUAAAGAGCGUGUAGGCGGCCCGGUAAGUCCGCUGUGAAAGUCGGGGGCUCAACCCUCGAAUGCCGGUGGAUACUGUCGGGCUAGAGUGCGGAAGAGGCGAGUGGAAUUCCUGGUGUAGCGGUGAAAUGCGCAGAUAUCAGGAGGAACACCGAUUGCGAAGGCAGCUCGCUGGGACGUUACUGACGCUGAGACACGAAGGCCAGGGGAGCAAACGGG
rnacentral:rRNA from 1 species